GUUUUUUGAUGUUUCACAGAUAAUUGAGUUUUUAUGCACUGCCAAAAUGAAUGAAACUCAUGCCGAUAAAGGUUGGUGUUAUGGCUGCUCCACGUGUUCAAAGAAACUGGUGCGAGAAAUAUCUUCAUUCACAUGUCUCUUUUGUAAUAAGACUAAUGCUGUGGGUGUACUGAGGUUCCGUGUGGAACUCUCUGUGUCUGACCAGACUGGUUCAGCUUUCUUAGUGGCUUUUGAUGAGGAGAUGGCCACAAUUACCAACAAUAUUGAAGCUUUUUAAGCUGCGUAUAUUGUGAUAUACUCUGAUAAUAAUGUCUUACUAUUGACCUUAGCUAUUUUUAAAGAACCACAAUUUCAAAAUAUAUAUUUUUCGGGAAUUGCAGAGGGUAGAGGUCAAUGCUAAGGUUGAUAGGGACCUCCAUCAGUUCAUUACUGAGAUUUGUAGCACCUACACAUUCCAGCUCAAGCUAACCUCUUUCAAUUUCACUUCAAAGCACCAAACCUUCACCAUUUCCCCUAUAUUUACUGUGCUGGAUCGUCCACCUGUGUCAGCCUUUGUUAUAGAAGGAGGUUCAAAUGUCCCUCAAGCCAAGCUGCCUGGAGUGGACACAAAAGGAUCAGCUGUUAUACCAAGUGAUGAUUGCGGUGUUUCAGUAUCAACCAAGCAGCAACUUGAUCCAGAAGAAAAUGGACCGAAGAUGGCACAUUUGGAAUAGGUACUCUUGAUUGCUGCACCACCUCAAAAUGAACUUAUGCAACUUUUGGCUUUAGCAUAUUCUCAAUUACUGUUUUCCCUUUUUCCCAUGGUUUAUCUCAUGGUGAUUUCAAGUACAAGAAAUACCAAGUUCAUUAAGAAGCUCUCUCCCCAUGAGUAUUAUCGUAUUGCAUUGAUCCCGUGAUUCCCACUGCUUAUGGUGGUUGUGGUGGACCCAUUGGUGUUUUUUCUUCCUGCGUUGCUUUUUUGAGGAUCAGUUGGACGUGUAGACCGCGAACGUUACAUAGUAGCACACUUUGGUAUUAGAGACAUGUUCUAGAGAAGCUUACAUGUCCCUUGAUCAGUACUCCAGUGACAGGUAUGCUGCCUUCGCAGAUCAGUUUGUUUGCGGUGAUAGAUACAGUCGUGGAUCACAUCCUCCAACGAGUUAAUACAGAGCCCCAUCUUUUGACAGAGACGUAGUCCUAAGUGCAGGAAGUGACAGCUACUAUGGUGAUAGAGUUGGUGAGCCCAUAUGUGGAGGAGAUGAGGGAAGAGGAUAUAGAAGCCGAGCCAGUGGUCCUUAUGAUAGGCCGAGCCGAAGU